CCGUUAUCUCGGAAUUGUGCGAUGUGUCAAAGUCCUUCUUGAACGGGGCCACAGCCCAUAGAGGGUGCCAGGCCCGUAGAGACCAUUGCCAAUUGCGAGGGGACUUCUCCUCAGAGUCGGGUUGCUUGAGAGUGCAGCCCUAAGUGGGUGGUAAACUCCAUCUAAGGCUAAAUAUGACCACGAGACCGAUAGCGAACAAGUACCGUGAGGGAAAGUUGAAAAGGACUUUGAAGAGAGAGUUCAAUAGUACGUGAAACCGUUUAGGGGUAAACCUGAGAAACCCGAAAGGUCGAAAGGGGAGAUUCAGCGUGUCUCUUUCGAGGUGCUGUGACAGUUGUGCGACAAACUUCUCUUUAUGGGUUGUUUGCGUCUUCAGUUCAGUUAAACCGCGAUUGAACGCGUGCACUUCUCCCCCAGUAGGACGUUGCAAUCCGUUGGGCGCCGGUCUAAGGCCCGUGGUGGAGCCCGUCUGGACGGCUUGCCGUUUUGGACGAACCCAUGGUGUUUUACCCGGCCGGCACGCUCGACGGUAUGUAGAAAGGCGCAAGGCCGCUAUUUUGCAUCCGACCUGCGGCAAGCGCGUUUGUUGUGUUGGUGAUCGGACCUAGUCCGGUCCUAGCCACGAAUGGCUGUUCGCCGUAGUGUUCUCGGACAGAUCUUGUACGCCGAUUAGCAACGCUAUAGCUUUGGGUAC
rnacentral:rRNA from 1 species